UACAUUUGAGUGAGUGGCGAACUGGUGAGUAACACGUGGGAAACCUGCCCAGAAGCGGGGGAUAACACCUGGAAACAGAUGCUAAUACCGCAUAACAACUUGGACCGCAGGGUCCGAGUUUGAAAGAUGGCUUCGGCUAUCACUUUUGGAUGGUCCCGCGGCGUAUUAGCUAGAUGGUGGGGUAACGGCUCACCAUGGCAAUGAUACGUACCCGACCUGAGAGGGUAAUCGGCCACAUUGGGACUGAGACACGGCCCAAACUCCUACGGGAGGCAGCAGUAGGGAAUCUUCCACAAUGGACGAAAGUCUGAUGGAGCAACGCC
rnacentral:rRNA from 2 species